CCUACGGGGGGCAGCAGUGGGGAAUUUUGGACAAUGGGCGAAAGCCUGAUCCAGCAAUGCCGCGUGAGUGAAGAAGGCCUUCGGGUUGUAAAGCUCUUUUGUCAGGGAAGAAACGGUGAGGGCUAAUAUCCUUCGCUAAUGACGGUACCUGAAGAAUAAGCACCGGCUAACUACGUGCCAGCAGCCGCGGUAAUACGUAGGGUGCAAGCGUUAAUCGGAAUUACUGGGCGUAAAGCGUGCGCAGGCGGUUUUGUAAGUCUGACGUGAAAUCCCCGGGCUCAACCUGGGAAUUGCGUUGGAGACUGCAAGGCUAGAAUCUGGCAGAGGGGGGUAGAAUUCCACGUGUAGCAGUGAAAUGCGUAGAGAUGUGGAGGAACACCGAUGGCGAAGGCAGCCCCCUGGGUCAAGAUU
rnacentral:rRNA from 1 species